rnacentral:rRNA from 1 species
CCUACGGGUGGCAGCAGUGGGGAAUAUUGCACAAUGGGGGAAACCCUGAUGCAGCGACGCAGCGUGAGUGAAGAAGUAUUUCGGUACGUAAAGCUCUAUUAGCAGGGAAGAAAAUGUCGGUACCUGACUAAGUAGCCCCGGCGAAAUACGUGCCAGCAGCCGCGGUAAUACGUAGGGGGCAAGCGUUAUCCGGAUGUACUGGGUGGAAAGGGAGCGUAGAUGGGAGCGCAAGUCUGGAGUGAAAUCCCAUGGCUUAACCAUGGAACUGCUUUGGAAACUGUGCAGCUAGAGUGCAGGAGAGGUAAGCGGAAUUCCGAGUGUAGCGGUGAAAUGCGUAGAUAUUAGGAAGAACACCAGUGGCGAAGGCAGCUUACUGGACUGUUACUGACGUUGAGGCACGAAAGCGUGGGUAUCAAACAGGAUUAGAUACCCUAGUAGUC